UAGGGAAUCUUCGGCAAUGGACGCAAGUCUGACCGAGCAACGCCGCGUGAGUGAAGAAGGCUUUCGGAUCGUAAAACUCUGUUGUUAGAGAAGAACAAGGACGUUAGUAACUGAACGUCCCCUGACGGUAUCUAACCAGAAAGCCACGGCUAACUACGUGCCAGCAGCCGCGGUAAUACGUAGGUGGCAAGCGUUGUCCGGAUUUAUUGGGCGUAAAGCGAGCGCAGGCGGUUUCUUAAGUCUGAUGUGAAAGCCCCCGGCUCAACCGGGGAGGGUCAUUGGAAACUGGGAGACUUGAGUGCAGAAGAGGAGAGUGGAAUUCCAUGUGUAGCGGUGAAAUGCGUAGAUAUAUGGAGGAACACCAGUGGCGAAGGCGGCUCUCUGGUCUGUAACUGACGCUGAGGCUCGAAAGCGUGGGGAGCAAACAGG
rnacentral:rRNA from 1 species